AUUGAACGCUGGCGGCAGGCUUAACACAUGCAAGUCGAGCGGGGGAAGGUAGCUUGCUACCGGACCUAGCGGCGGACGGGUGAGUAAUGCUAGGAAUCUGCCUAUUAGUGGGGGACAACAUCUCGAAAGGGAUGCUAAUACCGCAUACGUCCUACGGGAGAAAGCAGGGGAUCUUCGGACCUUGCGCUAAUAGAUGAGCCUAAGUCGGAUUAGCUAGUUGGUGGGGUAAAGGCCUACCAAGGCGACGAUCUGUAGCGGGUCUGAGAGGAUGAUCCGCCACACUGGGACGGAGACACGGCCCAGACUCCUACGGGAGGCAGCAGUGGGGAAUAUUGGACAAUUGGGGGAACCCUGAUCCAGCCAUGCCGCGUGUGUGAAGAAGGCCUUAUGGUUGUAAAGCACUUUAAGCGAGGAGGAGGCUACUCUAGUUAAUACCUAGGGAUAGUGGACGUUACUCGCAGAAUAAGCACCGGCUAACUCUGUGCCAGCAGCCGCAGUAA
rnacentral:rRNA from 1 species